UACGAAGGGGGCUAGCGUUGCUCGGAAUUACUGGGCGUAAAGCGCACGUAGGCGGCUUGUUAAGUCAGGGGUGAAAUCCUGGAGCUCAACUCCAGAACUGCCUUGAUACUGGCGAGCUUGAGUUCGGGAGAGGUGAGUGGAACUGCGAGUGUAGAGGUGAAAUUCGUAGAUAUUCGCAAGAACACCAGUGGCGAAGGCGGCUCACUGGCCCGAUACUGACGCUGAGGUGCGAAAGCGUGGGGAGCAAACAGGG
rnacentral:rRNA from 1 species